UUGAAGGAAACGAAUAACAAAGGUGAGGUUGAGAAAGAGCAGAUCGGUCGUCCUUUGUUGAGCAGGUCUCGACAAUCUCAAUCAUUACAUUUUUUUUUUCUUUUUUUUUUGAUUU
rnacentral:ribozyme from 14 species